GUGCUUUCUCCCUCUCCUCUCCUGUUUCUCUCUGAAUCACAGGGUGAGAGUCACCAUGCAAAGACUCGGAGACACACAGCAGAAGAUGGCCGCACGCAGAGGCAGCUUGGACCGAUGGUAUCUAUAGGCCAGGAACGCCGAUGGCUGCUGUCCUUCACCAAAGUGUGGAGAGAGGCGAGUGCUCUUCU